CAGGCACAGCUCAGGUGGAGCAGGGAGCCAGGCUUACGACCAGGUUUCAGACUGGAAGCGCUGGGACCGUUCCAGGGCUGAUAAAUACUCUUCUGCUUCGGAGGGCGACAGGCCACCUUCCAGCUGCAGCACUGACUGCAGGGCUUCAGCCACCGCUGCUGGCAUCUGCUUGGCAUUCCCAGCCAGGUAGAUGUGAGCGCUCUGGCCAUUCAGCAGCUCCCAUAGCAGCUGUCCAUUCUCCCGGAUGCGAUGCUGAACAUACACCUUCUCCUCCUGGUCCCUGGA
rnacentral:lncRNA from 1 species